GUAGGUGAACCUGCGGAAGGAUCAUUAACACGUGCUCCACGUUUAUCAAAACCAAUGAGAACCCGUUUUCCGCCGCCCUUCGUUAGAAUGAAUGGGAAUCAGUCCAGUGUAGUGAGUGGGACCGGUCUCGGUCAGCCUGGCUGUUACACACUGCCGAUCUUCGAAAGGAGUGAAGCGACCAUUGGAUCUAUUCUGAAGGCAAACCGUUCUAGUUUCCAAUCUCCACCCAUGAUUGAGUUGCUAGGGCACU
rnacentral:misc_RNA from 1 species